CAUAGCAAAAGUUUGGAGCUUUGUCUGCUGAAAGUCAGUUUUGAAACAAUUGAAUGAAAGGAGAGCUACUGACUGAUAUCAUAAGCUACAGUAGGGAACGUAGUGAUUAAACGUUUAGCCGGUGUAGUAGAGACGAAAUCCAUACCUCAGAGGUUGCCAGCUAAACCAGUUGAACAAUAUUUCAUCACAAAUGAACAAAUUGCUCCAAGAUACAUACAGUUCGAGCUCAUAUGAUUUUCUUCCUCCAAAGAGUAGUCGAAGAUUGAGAGCAUUCCUGCUAUCAAGAAACCUGUUAUCAAGAAGCCUGAUAUCAAAAAACCUGAUAUCAAGACAUGCAGCACUGUCAAAUCGCUCCAGUACCUUGGUCGAGUGAAAUCGUUUCUGCUCAGAUGUCCGCUGGAGUACUUCGUCCGCUGGAGUACUUCGUCCGCUGGAGUACUUCGUCCGCUGGAGUACUUCGUAAUGUUGUUCUGAGGAUGAACAAAGCAUAGUGAUGAGAGAGGGCUAUUAAUGUGUGGGAUUUCUGCUGCUUUGUUACAGUCAUCUGACUUUUUCAUUUUUACUCGGUGACUUU